rnacentral:rRNA from 1 species
AGUCGACGAUGACCUCCUUCGGGAGGGGAUUAGUGGCGAACGGGUGAGUAACACGUGGGCAAUCUGCCCUUCACUCUGGGACAAGCCCUGGAAACGGGGUCUAAUACCGGAUAUGACACGGGGUCGCAUGAUCUCCGUGUGGAAAGCUCCGGCGGUGAAGGAUGAGCCCGCGGCCUAUCAGCUUGUUGGUGAGGUAGUGGCUCACCAAGGCGACGACGGGUAGCCGGCCUGAGAGGGCGACCGGCCACACUGGGACUGAGACACGGCCCAGACUCCUACGGGAGGCAGCAGUGGGGAAUAUUGCACAAUGGGCGAAAGCCUGAUGCAGCGACGCCGCGUGAGGGAUGACGGCCUUCGGGUUGUAAACCUCUUUCAGCAGGGAAGAAGCGAGAGUGACGGUACCUGCAGAAGAAGCGCCGGCUAACUACGUGCCAGCAGCCGCGGUAAUACGUAGGGCGCGAGCGUUGUCCGGAAUUAUUGGGCGUAAAGAGCUCGUAGGCGGCUUGUCACGUCCGAUGUGAAAGCCCGGGGCUUACCCCGGGUCUGCAUUCGAUACGGGCAGGCUAGAGUUCGGUAGGGGAGAUCGGAAUUCCUGGUGUAG